rnacentral:rRNA from 1 species
UACGGAGGGUGCAAGCGUUAUCCGGAUUCACUGGGUUUAAAGGGUGCGUAGGUGGGCAGGUAAGUCAGUGGUGAAAUCUCCGGGCUUAACCCGGAAACUGCCAUUGAUACUAUCAGUCUUGAAUACCGUGGAGGUAAGCGGAAUAUGUCAUGUAGCGGUGAAAUGCUUAGAUAUGACAUAGAACACCCAUUGCGAAGGCAGCUUACUACGGAGACAUUGACACUGAGGCUCGAAAGCGUGGGGAUCAAACAGG